UGAAUAUAUGUGUGCUUAGAAAGUUCGC
rnacentral:sRNA from 1 species